GUUUGAUCCUGGCUCAGAAUCAACGCUGGCGGCGUGCCUAACACAUGCAAGUCGAACGGGAAAGUGGAGCAAUCCAUGAGUAUAGUGGCGACCGGGUGAGUAACACGUGACUACCUGCCCUUGAGUGGGGGAUAACCUCGGGAAACCGAGGCUAAUACCGCAUAAUAUCGCAAGAUCAAAGGAGCAAUCCGCUUUUGGAGGGGGUCGCGGCUGAUUAGCUAGUUGGUAGGGUAAUGGCUUACCAAGGCGAAGAUCGGUAUCCGGCCUGAGAGGGCGCACGGACACACUGGAACUGAAACACGGUCCAGACUCCUACGGGAGGCAGCAGUGGGGAAUUUUGCGCAAUGGGGGAAACCCUGACGCAGCAACGCCGCGUGGAGGAUGAAGGCCCUUGGGUCGUAAA
rnacentral:rRNA from 1 species